GAGAGGAAGAAGAAGAGAAGAAAGAGGAAGAGAGAGCUUGGAGUCCAAAUCUUGCCGUUAGAAGCUCACGCUCGAUCAAGUAAGGGGUAUACACCUUAAAAUACAUUAAAGUUAUGUAAAUGUAAUAACGUGGGUUUUAACUUAACGUUAAAUUAGAUCUGCAUGCUAGAGUCGCAAAUAUAUGGUUUUGAAAUUGAAGUAUGAUAGUCCCAUUGAGCUAUAAUUGUAUCUUAGAAAACCUCCUAAAGAUUGGAGUGAAAGUGUGUGAAGUUUUGGUAGAAAUUCGUAGGUUCAGUUACUGUUCAUAAAUGUCAAACCCAUGAGCGUCAACGGCCAAGACAGCGCAGAACGCUCAAGACGUCGAACGACCAAUGAUUAGAGUUCGAACGCCUAGCCACUUUCAGCAGAAUUGGCCUUUUCCUUAGAACUUUUAAAUGUUACCAGAAUUUAUAUAGGGCUCUUUGAUAGAUCUAUAUCGCGACUUAGACACCAUUGACUAAGAAGAGUUGGACUUAGAAUAAGAAAUCUAAGUUACGUGAAAGUCAUAUUUUUCCAAAUUAGUGAUUCAAUAACUUAGUAGUGACAAUUCCUCUUUACCUUAAUGUAGGGACACACAGGUAGCACCUAGCCAAGGAGAAAACCCAGGUGAGUAGCGUGAUGCAGGAACAUAAAACUAUGUAUUUUCAAAAAUGUUUUCAAUCUAUAUGACGUAUAAGUAAAUGUUUUCCAGUUUCAAUGAUAAAAUGAUUAUGUUAUGCUAAAAAUGCCAUGUCUUCAGAAUAUACAAAUUGCUAUUAUGUUAUGUAUAGAAAACCCAUGGAUACAUGCUUUAACGAAUUAAAUGUCUAGCAUGAAAUUACAUGAAAAAGCAAUGUAGGUUCAAGUAUGUAGGCCAUGGUGAUACUCGGGUCCGUUUUGGCGAGGACUUUAAUAAAGCCAGAAGAUAGUCCUCAGACGGAUGGGGGACGUGAAUAAGACCAUCGGUACGAUCGAGAUCUCUGGCUAAAGAGCCACCAUAGCCUAUAGGCUAGUACGUUAUGUCGAGUAUUUACACCCACGAUUGUGCAUGAUUCAAGAAGAGAUGAAAUGUUUAUGCUCACGGUAUGUUUAUGAUAUUUUUUUUGGAAUUUAGGUACGUGAGCUUCAAGUAAAAAAGGGGGGAAUUGAAAAAUGAAUGUUUAUGUAACAUGAUAUGUCUUUGAUAUGAAAACAAUCCAUGGUAUUUUAUUGUCAUGAAUUUAUGUUAUUUACAAAGCUUUGGCGUACGUUUUUCGACAAACCUUUUCAGGGAGCCAAAGUGAAGAAAUAUAGGCUGAGAUUGCGCUUAUAUUGUAGUUUUGAUAGCCCGAGAGCUUGUUAUGUAGUUCGCUUUGGGCUAUAGACCCUAAUUAUGUCUUGAAGGGUAUGUAUGGAUGUAAAUUAGCCUGGAAAUGUUGUAUGUAAGCUAACACGUCGACAAGCUCUGCAUGUACCGGUAUGGAAGUGACACUUCGUUAUUUUAGUAUGAUUACGCUUCCGCUUUUUUUUUUUUUUGGUUUUUUCUUUUUUUUUUUUUUUUUGUUUGUUUUUUUUGUUUUUUUUUUUGUUUUUUUUCUUUUUUUUUUUUUUUUUUUAUUUUUUUUUUUUUUUUUUUUGUUUUUUUUUUUGUUUUUUUUUUUUAGCAAAAGAACAAAUAUUAUGGAAUCUUAAAUGAGAAUGCACAUGUACAGGGUAGUUGGCCUUGGCGGGCAAGCGUCGCCAUCCACGUGCCCACAAUCCGCAUAGGCCGGGUUGCGGGCGUGACAGUGUAUGUUGGUAAAUCUUCUAAUCUCCAUCUUAAUUCAAUGUUUGAAAUGAACUACAUAACACAAUCAAUCCUUAAACCAGUUGAAUUGAAUAUAAACUGCACCUUCAAAUUUUCAUUUACACAAUUUAGCAUCUUCAAUUCAGGAAAUGUAGUUAAUCUGACCUCCAAAUCACAAUUGAUGAUAUCUCAUAAGUUUCACAAAUUAGGAAUCAACACACACACACACACAGAGGCCCAAUUCCACAAGACAAGCACCUCAAUCAAGCAGUUUGGUCGUCCAAUGUAAUGUGUUGGCAGCCUGUCCUUGCUCAAUCACCUGGUUCCUUGGUGCUUGCAUCAGAACCUUCCAGUGUCUGGUAAGUACAUAAGAAGAAGGAACUUUGGUUCUUUCUGCAGGAAUUGCAUGCAAAAAAAUAUAUUCAGCAAUGCGAAUAUUCAUAAUUAGUAAAAAAAAUGUAACUAAUAUGAGGGAAAAGGAUAACAUGAAUGAAGCAAAUGGGCCCGCAAUAUCUGAAAAUAACCUGUACUGAUACUUUGAAGCGAACAAAAUAAACAUCUUUCACUACAGUGACUUUGGACAAAACUCAGCAUUUUAUUGAAACCGGAUAUUCCUUGGGUUCUAGAAAUAACCCCCCUCUCUCUCUCAAACACACACAAACAUGCCAAUGAGAGGUACGGUUUUUGAGAUUUGAUUACCACAACGCUAUCCUCGUU
rnacentral:lncRNA from 1 species